rnacentral:tRNA from 4 species
GGUGAGUUGACAGAGCGGCCGAAUGUGACGGUCUUGAAAACCGUUGACCUGCAAGGGUCCGUGGGUUCGAAUCCCACACUCACCG